rnacentral:rRNA from 1 species
CCUACGGGUGGCAGCAGUCGAGAAUCAUUCACAAUGGGGGCAACCCUGAUGGUGCGAUGCCGCGUGGGUGAAUGAAGCCCUUCGGAUUGUAAAUCCCUGCCAUGUGGGAGCAAAUUAUAAAGAUAGUACCCCCAGCGGUAGACACUGCUAACUCUGUGCCCGCAGCCGCGGUAAUACAGAGGUCGCAAGCGUUGUUCGGAAUCACGGGGCGUAAAGCGUGCGUAGGCUGUUUCGUAAGUCGUGUGUGAAAGGCUCGGGCUCAACCCGGGGACGGCAGAUGAUACUGGGAGACUAGAGUAAUGGAGAGGGGGGCAGAAUUCUAGGUGUAGCAGUGAAAUGCGUAGAGAUCGGGAGGAACACUCGUGGCGAAGGCGGGUUCCUGGAC